rnacentral:lncRNA from 1 species
CCGUAUGAACUUACCUGGGCCAAUUUGUAAGAGUUGUAAAAGUUCAGAGACUAGUUUGAUAUUUUCUCUUUUCUGCGUUUAUCUUCGAAUUCCCGAUCUAUAAUAUAAAGUUUUCCAUUCAUUAGCAUCUAAUUCAAUACUAAUUCACUUCGCAAUUUAUGCCCUUCAAUUUUCGAAAUUACACUUUUACCCCAAAAUUUACAAUUUUUACAAUUUAGUCCCUACUCAAUAAACACUUUAAUUGAAC